GACGAACGCUGGCGGCGUGCUUAACACAUGCAAGUCGAACGGAAAGGCCCUGCUUUUGUGGGGUGCUCGAGUGGCGAAAGGGUGAGUAACACGUUAGUAACCUGCCCUUGACUUUGGGAUAACUUCAGGAAACUGGGGGUAAUACCGGAUAGGAGCUCCUGCUGCAUGGUGGGGGUUGGAAAGUUUCGGCGGUUGGGGAUGGACUCGCGGCUUAUCAGCUUGUUGGUGGGGUAGUGGCUUACCAAGGCUUUGACGGGUAGCCGGCCUGAGAGGGUGACCGGCCACAUUGGGACUGAGAUGCGGCCCAGACGCCUACGGGAGGCAGCAGUGGGGAAUAUUGCACAAUGGGCGGAAGCCUGAUGCAGCAACGCCGCGUGCGGGAUGACGGCCUUCGGGUUGUAAACCGCUUUCGCCUGUGACGAAGCGUGAGUGACGGUAAUGGGUAAAGAAGCACCGGCUAACUACGUG
rnacentral:rRNA from 1 species